rnacentral:rRNA from 1 species
AUCAGCGCCAGGGAACUACAAGCAAUGCUUAAAACCCAAAGGACUUGACGGUGUCCCACCCACCUAGAGGAGCCUGUUCUAUAAUUGAUAAUCCCCGCUUUACCUAACCAUCCCUUGCUUUUCAGUCUGUAUACCUCCGUCGAAAGCUUACCAUGUGAACGCCCUCAGUAAGCUUAAUGACCCCAUCAAUACGUCAGGUCAAGGUGCAGCUCACGGAAUGGGAAGAAAUGGGCUACAAUUUCUAACCUAGAACAAACGAAAGGCUACGUGAAACCCUAGCUCCGAAGGCGGAUUUAGUAGUAAAAAGAAAAUAGAGAGUUCUUUUUAACCCGGCUCUGGGACGCGUACACACCGCCCGUCACCCUCUUCAAUAGUACUCCUCCUGUUCAUAACCUACUACUUACACCAUAGAAGAGGCAAGUCGUAACAUGGUAAGUGUACUGGAAAGUGCACUUGGUCUACAA